rnacentral:rRNA from 1 species
UCGCUGUGAAGAUGCAGUGUACCCGCGGCAAGACGGAAAGACCCCGUGAACCUUUACUAUAGCUUGACACUGAACAUUGAGCCUUGAUGUGUAGGAUAGGUGGGAGGCUUGGAAGUGUGGACGCCAGUCUGCAUGGAGCCGACCUUGAAAUACCACCCUUUAAUGUUUGAUGUUCUAACGUUGACCCGUAAUCCGGGUUGCGGACAGUGUCUGGUGGGUAGU